rnacentral:rRNA from 1 species
CCCAUCCCGAACACGACCGUUAAGCCCUCCAGCGCCGAUGGUACUUGGACCGAAGGGUCCUGGGAGAGUAGGACGCCGCCAAGC